rnacentral:rRNA from 1 species
GAUGAACGCUGGCGGCGUGCCUAAUACAUGCAAGUCGAGCGAACAGACGAGGAUCUUGCUCCUCGCACGUUAGCGGCGCACGGGUGAGUAACGCGUGUAUAACCUACCUAUAAGACUGGUAUAACUUCGAAAAAGCGGCUCUAAUACCGUAUAACAUGUUGAAGCGCAGGGGUCGACGGUGAAAGACGGUCGUUCGGUCACGUAUAGAUGGAUCCGCGCCGCAUUAGAUAGUUGGUGAGGUAACGGCCUACGAAGGGAACGAUGCGUAGGCGAGCUGAGAGAGUGAUCGGCGACCCUGGAACUGAGACACGGUCAAGACUACUGAGGGAGGCAGCAGUCGGCAAUCUUACGCAAUGGGCGAGAGCAUGACAGAACAACGCCGAGUGAGUGAAGACGGUCCUCGGAUCGUAAAAAUCUGUUAUUAGGGAAGAACCAAUGUGUAAGUAAAUAUGGACGGAUUGACGGUAACUAAUCAGAAAGCAACGGCUAACUACGUG